UUUGACCAUAUCUCCAUCCUGCUAUGUCGGAAUCUCCUCUUCCUUCCCUGUCGGAGCACCCUCAUCGGACGGCAUUUCACUUCCAGCCUUCACAAAACUGGAUGAACGAUCCUAAUGGACCAAAGUACUUCAAUGGAGUAUACCAUCUCUUCUAUCAAUACAAUCCAGCUGGUCCACUCUUUA